GCGCAGCAUUCUGUAGCAAUACAGGGUGUGGGCGCGUGGCGAACGGGUGCGUAACACGUGGAUAACCUUCCUUCAGGUGGGGAAUAACCCAGUGAAAAUUGGGCUAAUACCGCAUAACAUGACGAUGCCACAUGGUGUUGUCUUCAAAGCCGCAAGGCGCCAGAAGAGGGAUCCGCGGCCGAUUAGCUUGUUGGCGAGGUAAUGGCUCACCAAGGCAUUGAUCGGUAGCCGGACUGAGAGGUUGGCCGGCCACACUGGAACUGAGACACGGUCCAGACUCCUACGGGAGGCAGCAGUGGGGAAUCUUGCACAAUGGACGAAAGUCUGAUGCAGCAACGCCGCGUGGGGGAUGAAGCUUUUCGGAGUGUAAACCCCUUUCGACCCGGAAGAAUGCCCGCAAGGGUUUGACGGUACGGGUAUAAGAAGCCCCGGCUAACUACGUGCCAGCAGCCGCGGUAAUACGUAGGGGGCCAGCGUUGCUCGGAAUUACUGGGCGUAAAGGGUCCGUAGGCGGUGUGGCAAGUCGGGAGUGAAAUCUCUGGGCUUAACCCAGAGGCUGCUUCCGAAACUGCCAUGCUAGAGUGUGAGAGAGGCGAGUGGAAUUACGGGUGUAGCGGUGAAAUGCGUAGAUAUCCGUAGGAACAUCCGAGGCGAAGGCGGCUCGCUGGAUCACAACUGACGCUGAGGGACGAAAGCUAGGGGAGCAAACAGGAUUAGAUACCCUG
rnacentral:rRNA from 1 species